rnacentral:lncRNA from 1 species
UGAAGAGUAAACCAGGUGCUUUACAUUCACCACACGUCCCUCAGUCUCCACAGCUGUUAGAACAACACAGGAGUCCAUCCCGGGCUCUCAUUCCCUUGUGUGCCCAAGCUCCUAAGGAAACUAUGGAUGUCUUUGAGUUGGUUUCACUGGGGAAGGUUGGGCUCUCCAGUGCCAGGGUUAAAACCCAGGGUUUGCUGCUAGGGGUGCGAUGCAGUGGGAAUCUCUGCCAUUGCUCCCAUGAGACACAGGGCAGGGCGGAGGGGACAUGAAGGCCAAGUCUGCCAACAAAGGGGUCACUCCUGUGCUCUGAUGGCAGGGUGCUGUGUUCUGGGGUGGAGGUUAAAAAGGCAGUGUGUAACCUAAAGGAUUCAACAGUGUGAUUCUGGUCAGGGUCUCAGGGCUAACAAGAGGAAACAGCAUCAGACAGAAAGGUCAUAAGAAAAGAAAAGCCUACCCAGCUACUGCUCCUUUCUCAUAAAAGAAAAAAACAGAGGCAGAGGAGGAAGAGGAGGAGGAGGAGGAGGAGCAAUGAGGAGGAAGCAGAGUUAGCAGCAACGCUCAGGUCUAGCUGGGCCUCAGGACGGCGACAGACCUGGGCCACACUCAAGCUGUUCCUAGCUCUUCAUUUCCUCCUGGCUUGGACCACAACAGAAAAAGAGCUGGAUGUGAUCACUCUCCCACCCUGUGAGCUGAGAGCAAUACAGACUAUCCACAAAGUCUCCAGGCUGUAAUUCCAGAAAAGCCAUUUCAGAAACAAAA